rnacentral:rRNA from 1 species
CGGCCCAGACUCCUACGGGAGGCAGCAGUAGGGAAUAUUGGACAAUGGGGGCAACCCUGAUCCAGCAAUGCAGCGUGAGUGACGAAGGCCUUAGGGUUGUAAAACUCUUUCAUCGGUGAGGAUAAUGACAGUAGCCGAAGAAGAAGGACCGGCUAAUUCCGUGCCAGCAGCCGCGGUAAUACGGAAGGUCCUAGCGUUGUUCGGAAUUACUGGGCGUAAAGCGCAUGUAGGCGGAACAGAAAGUUAGAAGUGAAAUCCCUGGGCUCAACCUAGGAAUUGCUUUUAAAACUUCUGUUCUGGAAUUCAGGAGAGGAAAAUGGAAUUUCCAGUGUAGAGGUGAAAUUCGUAGAUAUUGGAAGGAACACCAGUGGCGAAGGCGAUUUUCUGGACUGAUAUUGACGCUGAGAUGCGAAGGCAUGGGUAGCAAACGGGAUUAGAUACCCCGGUAGUCCAUGCAGUAAACGAUGGGUGCUAGUCGUCGGACUUUUGUUCGGUGUCGUAGCUAACGCGUUAAGCACCCCGCCUGGGGAGUACGGUCGCAAGAUUAAAACUCAAAUAAAUUGACGGGGACCCGCACAAGCAGUGGAGCAUGUGGUUUAAUUCGACGCAACGCGAAGAACCUUACCAGCGUUUGACAUGGAAAGUGCCGGUUACAGAAUGGUAACCUUCAGUUCGGCUGGCUUUCGCACAGGUGCUGCAUGGCUGUCGUCAGCUCGUGUCGUGAGAUGUUGGGUUAAGUCCCGCAACGAGCGCAACCCUUAUCGUUAGUUACUAACAGUUCGGCUGAGGACUCUAGCGAAACUGCCGGUGAUAAGCCGGAGGAAGGUGGGGAUGACGUCAAGUCCUCAUGGCCCUUACACGCUGGGCUACACACGUGCUACAAUGGUAACUACAACGGGACGCAAUACCGCGAGGUGGAGCUAAUCCCCAAAAGUUAUCUCAGUUCGGAUUGCACUCUGCAACUCGAGUGCAUGAAGUUGGAAUUGCUAGUAAUCGCGGAUCAGCAUGCCGCGGUGAAUACGUUCCCGGGUCUUGUACACACCGCCCGUCACACCAUGAGAGUUGGUUUUAUCUUAAGUCAGUGCGCUAACCUUCGGGAGGCAGCUGCCCACGGUACGGCCAGCGAUUGGGGUGAAGUCGUAACAAGGUAGCCGUAGGGGAACCUGCGGCUG